rnacentral:sRNA from 2 species
AGAUCCCGUAGCGUCAGUGGAGCCUCCACGGGUCUGUCCUCCAGCCCUCUAAGCAGCCCAAGGAGUCCGGUCUUUUCCUUUUCACCGGAGCCGGGGGCUGGAGAUGAGGCUCGAGGCGGGGGCUCCCCGACUUCCAAAACGCAGACGCUGCCUUCUCGGGGCCCCAGGGGUGGGGGCGCCGGGGAGCAGCCCCCGCCCCCCAGUGCCCGCUCCACACCCCUGCCCGGCCCCCCAGGCUCCCCGCGCUCCUCUGGCGGGACCCCCUUGCACUCGCCUCUGCACACGCCCCGGGCCAGUCCCACCGGGACCCCGGGGACAACACCACCCCCCAGCCCCGGCGGUGGCGUCGGGGGAGCCGCCUGGAGGAGUCGUCUCAACUCCAUCCGCAACAGCUUCCUGGGCUCCCCUCGCUUUCACCGGCGCAAGAUGCAGGUCCCUACCGCUGAGGAGAUGUCCAGCUUGACGCCAGAGUCCUCCCCGGAGCUGGCAAAACGCUCCUGGUUCGGGAACUUCAUCUCCUUGGACAAAGAAGAACAAAUAUUCCUCG